rnacentral:rRNA from 1 species
AUGAACGCUGGCGGCGUGCUUCACCCCUGCCAGUCGAACGGAAAGGCUCCUGCUUGCAGGGGUACUCGAGUGGCGAACGGGUGAGUAACACGUGGGUGAUCUGCCCUGCACUUCGGGAUAAGCCUGGGAAACUGGGUCUAAUACCGGAUAGGACGAUGGUUUGGAUGCCAUUGUGGAAAGUUUUUCGGUGUGGGAUGAGCUCGCGGCCUAUCAGCUUGUUGGUGGGGUAAUGGCCUACCAAGGCGUCGACGGGUAGCCGGCCUGAGAGGGUGUACGGCCACAUUGGGACUGAGAUACGGCCCAGACUCCUACGGGAGGCAGCAGUGGGGAAUAUUGCACAAUGGGCGCAAGCCUGAUGCAGCGACGCCGCGUGGGGGAUGACGGCCUUCGGGUUGUAAACGCCUUUCGCUAGGGACGAAGCGUUUUGUGACGGUACCUGGAGAAGAAGCACCGGCUAACUACGUG